rnacentral:tRNA from 1 species
GGGUCCGUAACUCAGUGGCAGAGUACCCGCCUUUUAAGCGGAGUGCCGUAGGUUCGAAUCCUACCGGACUCA